rnacentral:misc_RNA from 1 species
AAGUCGUAACAAGGUUUCCGUAGGUGAACCUGCGGAAGGAUCAUUAACAAAUCGUGGCAGCCUUUGGGCUGCACAUAAACCCGCGGUCUCACGGCCGCAGCGGUGGCGGUGAGUGUCCCUCGGGGCGCGCACCGCUAAUAUUGGCGCUUGAUUGUUUGUCUGUGCUCGAGAUACAUAAUAUAAACAACUUUUAACAAUGGAUCUCUUGGCUCUU